AUACGGAGGGUGCAAGCGUUGUUCGGAAUUACUGGGCGUAAAGCGCGCGUAGGUGGUCUGUUAUGUCAGAUGUGAAAGUCCACGGCUCAACCGUGGAAGUGCAUUUGAAACUGGCAGACUUGAGUACUGGAGGGGGUAGUGGAAUUCCCGGUGUAGAGGUGAAAUUCGUAGAUAUCGGGAGGAAUACCGGUGGCGAAGGCGACUACCUGGCCAGAUACUGACACUGAGGUGCGAAAGCGUGGGGAGCGAACAGAAUUAGAAACCCGGGUAGUCC
rnacentral:rRNA from 1 species